rnacentral:rRNA from 1 species
UAGGGAAUCUUCCGCAAUGGACGAAAGUCUGACGGAGCAAUGCCGCGUGCGUGAAGAAGGUUCUCGGAUCGUAAAACUCUGUUGUUAGAGAAGAACAAGGAUGAGAGUAACUGCUCAUCCCCUGACGGUAUCUAACCAGAAAGCCACGGCUAACUACGUGCCAGCAGCCGCGGUAAUACGUAGGUGGCAAGCGUUGUCCGGAUUUAUUGGGCGUAAAGCGAGCGCAGGCGGUUCUUUAAGUCUGAUGUGAAAGCCCCCGGCUCAACCGGGGAGGGUCAUUGGAAACUGGAGAACUUGAGUGCAGAAGAGGAGAGUGGAAUUCCAUGUGUAGACGUGAAAUUCGUAGAUAUAUGGAGGAACACCAGUGGCGAAGGCGACUCUCUGGUCUGUAACUGACGCUGAGGCUCGAAAGCGUGGGGAGAAAACA